AACGGAGGUCCCUAGCGUUGUUCGGAAUUAUUGGGCUUAAAGCGCGUGUAGGCGGAGCGGUAAGUACCUUGUGAAAGCCCCGGCCUCAAUCCGGGAAUAGCUUGGUAUACUGCCGUUCUUGAGGCAGGUAGGGGUCACUGGAACCUUAGGUGGAGCGGUGAAAUGCGUAGAUAUCUAAGGGAACGCCUGUGGCGAAAGCGGGUGACUGGGCCUGUCCUGACGCUGAGACGCGAAAGCGUAGGGAGCAAACGGG
rnacentral:rRNA from 1 species